CGUUGGUGAACCAGCGGAGGGAUCAUUACUGAGUUUACGCUCUAUAACCCUUUGUGAACAUACCUAUAACUGUUGCUUCGGCGGGUAGGGUCUCCGCGACCCUCCCGGCCUCCCGCCUCCGGGCGGGUCGGCGCCCGCCGGAGGAUAACCAAACUCUGAUUUAACGACGUUUCUUCUGAGUGGUACAAGCAAAUAAUCAAAACUUUUAACAACGGAUCUCUUGGUUCUGGCAUCGAUGAAGAACGCAGCGAAAUGCGAUAAGUAAUGUGAAUUGCAGAAUUCAGUGAAUCAUCGAAUCUUUGAACGCACAUUGCGCCCGCCAGCAUUCUGGCGGGCAUGCCUGUUCGAGCGUCAUUUCAACCCUCAAGCUCUGCUUGGUGUUGGGGCCCUACAGCUGAUGUAGGCCCUCAAAGGUAGUGGCGGACCCUCCCGGAGCCUCCUUUGCGUAGUAACUUUACGUCUCGCACUGGGAUCCGGAGGGACUCUUGCCGUAAAACCCCCCAAUUUUCCAAAGGUUGACCUCGGAUCANGUAGGAAUACCCGCUGAACAUAAGCAUAUCAAUA
rnacentral:rRNA from 1 species